UACGUAGGGGGCAAGCGUUGUCCGGAUUUAUUGGGCGUAAAGAGCUCGUAGGUGGUUCGGUAAGUCGGAUGUGAAAUCUCCAGGCUCAACCUGGAGGGGUCAUUCGAUACUGCCGUGACUAGAGGUCGGUAGGGGAGUGUGGAAUUCCUGGUGGAGCGGUGAAAUGCGCAGAUAUCAGGAGGAACACCAGUGGCGAAGGCGGGUCUCUGGACAGUUCCUGACGCUGAGGCACGAAGGUCAGGGGAGCAAACGGG
rnacentral:rRNA from 1 species